AUUGAACGCUGGCGGCAUGCUUUACACAUGCAAGUCGAACGGUAACAGGCCGCAAGGUGCUGACGAGUGGCGAACGGGUGAGUAAUGCAUCGGAACGUGCCCAGUCGUGGGGGAUAACGCAGCGAAAGCUGUGCUAAUACCGCAUACGAUCUGUGGAUGAAAGCGGGGGACCGAAAGGCCUCGCGCGAUUGGAGCGGCCGAUGUCAGAUUAGGUAGUGGGUGGGGUAAAGGCUCACCAAGCCAACGAUAUGUAGCUGGUCCGAGAGGACGACCAGCCACACUGGGACUGGGACACGGCCCAGACUCCUACGGGAGGCAGCAGUGGGGAAGUUUGGACAAUGGGCGCAAGCCUGAUCCAGCAAUGCCGCGUGCAGGAAGAAGGCCUUCGGGUUGUAAACUGCUUUUGUACGGAGCGAAAAGGCUCUCUCUAAUACAGGGGGCUCAUGACGGUACCGUAAGAAUAAGCACCGGCUAACUACGUGCCAGCCGCCGCGGUAACAC
rnacentral:rRNA from 1 species